GGUUACCCAACAUUUUUAUGUAUUAUUUUGCUGACAAUAUUGCAUGAAAAUAUUGUCCCUGUUCUCACAUUAAUUUAAUGUCGAAGGAAUGUUGAGCCGGCUUUUUUUGUUAGUUUUUCUAUAUUUUACAUGCAUUUUCUAAGCACCUGCCAAAAAUCAACGAAAAAUAAUUGGUAGCAGAUAGUAUACUAGGUGUUAGACUUUUGGUACAUAAUUUUGGUUUUUCUGUUGUUGUUUUUCGUUAAGCUUGUUACGGGUGUGGAUAGGGGGGCCGACUAUACAAAAACAUAACAAAUCCCAAUAUCGUAUUAUUUUGAAUUUUAUUUUUAGAUUAAAAUAAAUAAUGAAUAACAGAGAUGUUGUUAGAUCUAUAACAGAUAAUCCUGCUGCACAUUAUGAAGCUUUUUUGAGAUAUCUUCAAUCUACCCAGCCUACCACAGCAACAUCUUCAUCUGCAAUUAGUGGGUGGAUACUCCAACCUGCAUCUUGUAAUGUGGUUGGAGAAGACUGAGAGGAAAGGGGGGAGGGGCGUUAAGCUUGGCAUCUUUCCGCCCCUAAUGUCAAUUUAUGCACCACGUAUAUUCUGUUAAGUAAAAAAAUAUAAUUUAAAGUCUUUAACACAAAAUAUAAUUAGUGUUUUUUAGGCUCAAAUAUUUAUAAGAUGGUAACAUUUCACUACAAGGGUGUUAAAACAGAACAAAUACAUCCACCCUUUAAUCUAAAAUAGACCAAUAAUAUUUGGAAAAGUAAUGGAAGCAAAUUAGAACAACUUUUUGUGUAUAAAGAUAACAAAUUUUAUCAGCAAAAUACUCUUUCGUGUGAAAAACUUGCAUUUUUUAAGGUUUCGAUGGUGUUUCGUUACCCCCUCUGGCCCUCUAGACACCCCUUUUAUCUAUAGAGCUAUAUGAACUUGUAGCCUACUAUUACAUCUAUCUUUUGAUACCAAGGUAUAGGCAUUUGGAUAAGAUU